GAUGAACGCUAGCGGCAGGCUUAAUACAUGCAAGUCGAGGGGCAGCAUGAGUAGCAAUACUUGAUGGCGACCGGCAAACGGGUGCGGAACACGUACACAACCUUCCUUCAAGCGAGGAAUAGCCCAGAGAAAUUUGGAUUAAUACCUCAUAGCAUAUUAGAGUGGCAUCACUUCUAUAUUAAAGAUUUAUCACUUGAAGAUGGGUGUGCGGCUGAUUAGAUAGUUGGCGGGGUAACGGCCCACCAAGUCUACGAUCAGUAGCUGAUGUGAGAGCAUGAUCAGCCACACGGGCACUGAGACACGGGCCCGACUCCUACGGGAGGCAGCAGUAAGGAAUAUUGGUCAAUGGACGAAAGUCUGAACCAGCCAUGCCGCGUGAAGGAUGAAGGUCCUCUGGAUUGUAAACUUCUUUUAUAUGGGACGAAAAAAGAUCAUUCUUGGUCACUUGACGGUACCAUUUGAAUAAGCACCGGCUAACUCCGUGCCAGCAGCCGCGGUAACAC
rnacentral:rRNA from 1 species